GAUGAACGCUGGCGGCGUGCCUAAUACAUGCAAGUCGAGCGAACAGACGAGGAGCUUGCUCCUCUGACGUUAGCGGCGGACGGGUGAGUAACACGUGGAUAACCUACCUAUAAGACUGGGAUAACUUCGGGAAACCGGAGCUAAUACCGGAUAAUAUAUUGAACCGCAUGGUUCAAUAGUGAAAUACGGUUUUGCUGUCACUUAUAGAUGGAUCCGCGCCGCAUUAGCUAGUUGGUAAGGUAACGGCUUACCAAGGCAACGAUGCGUAGCCGACCUGAGAGGGUGAUCGGCCACACUGGAACUGAGACACGGUCCAGACUCCUACGGGAGGCCGCAGUAGGGAAUCUUCCGCAAUGGGCGAAAGCCUGACGGAGCAACGCCGCGUGAGUGAUGAAGGUCUUCGGAUCGUAAAACUCUGUUAUUAGGGAAGAACAAAUGUGUAAGUAACUAUGCACGUCUUGACGGUACCUAAUCAGAAAGCCACGGCUAACUACGUG
rnacentral:rRNA from 1 species